rnacentral:rRNA from 1 species
GACAGAGGUCCCGAGCGUUAGGCGGAAUCACUGGGCUUAAAGCGUGUGUAGGCGGAGUUCUAAGUACCUUGUGAAAUCCCACGGCUUAACCGUGGAACUGCUUGGUAUACUGGUUCUCUUGGGCCAUCUAGGGGCGAGCGGAACAAACGGUGGAGCGGUGAAAUGCGUAGAUAUCGUUUGGAACGCCAAUGGUGAAAACAGCUCGCUGGGGAUGUGCCGACGCUGAGACACGAAAGCCAGGGGAGCGAACGGG